rnacentral:rRNA from 1 species
AUUGAACGCUGGCGGAAUGCUUUACACAUGCAAGUCGAACGGCAGCACGGGGCAACCUGGUGGCGAGUGGCGAACGGGUGAGUAAUACAUCGGAACGUGCCCAAUCGUGGGGGAUAACGUAGCGAAAGUUACGCUAAUACCGCAUACGAUCUACGGAUGAAAGCGGGGGAUCGCAAGACCUCGCGCGAAUGGAGCGGCCGAUGUCAGAUUAGGUAGUUGGUGGGGUAAAGGCUCACCAAGCCGACGAUCUGUAGCUGGUCUGAGAGGACGACCGGCCACACUGUGACUGAGACACGGCCCAGACUCCUACGGGAGGCAGCAGUGGGGAAUUUUGGACAAUGGGCGAAAGCCUGAUCCAGCCAUUCCGCGUGCAGGAUGAAGGCCUUCGGGUUGUAAACUGCUUUUGUACGGAACGAAACGGUCCUUUCUAAUACGAGGGGCUAAUGACGGUACCGUAAGAAUAAGCACCGGCUAACUACGUGCCAGCCGCCGCAGUAA